GCACUUUUGUCUUUGGACAGCUCAAAGAGCAAAUAAUGGAAUAUAUACUACCUGUGCAUGUUUCUGAGAGAAGACUCGCAUACCUCAGAACAGCUCCUCUUUGAAGCAGACAACAUUCAGCCAGUAUAUGGAAGGCAAUCUUACUCGGCUAUGAGUGAUCGCCAAAGAAGAGGAGGAGGAGGAGGCAUAAGCGCUCUGUUCCCUUACAAAACUUUUCAAAAUGAGAGCAAAAGCAUCAAGCGAUACUGAGGACAAUCCUAGCUGUGAUCCAGAAUCGUCUUUCAACAGAGUGCUGGAGAGUAUCUUGACUAUUCUUCUACAGUUCUCCAUGCCAUGUUGUGAACAAGGAUUUUC